AGCGGCGGAUGGGUGAGUAACACGUGGGGAACCUGCCCCUAAGUCUGGGAUACCAUUUGGAAACAGGUGCUAAUACCGGAUAAUAAAGCAGAUCGCAUGAUCAGCUUUUGAAAGGCGGCGUAAGCUGUCGCUAAGGGAUGGCCCCGCGGUGCAUUAGCUAGUUGGUAAGGUAACGGCUUACCAAGGCGACGAUGCAUAGCCGAGUUGAGAGACUGAUCGGCCACAUUGGGACUGAGACACGGCCCAAACUCCUACGGGAGGCAGCAGUAGGGAAUCUUCCACAAUGGACGCAAGUCUGAUGGAGCAACGCCGCGUGAGUGAAGAAGGUUUUCGGAUCGUAAAGCUCUGUUGUUGGUGAAGAAGGAUAGAGGUAGUAACUGGCCUUUAUUUGACGGUAAUCAACCAGAAAGUCACGGCUAACUACGUGCCAGCAGCCGCGGUAAUACGUAGGUGGCAAGCGUUGUCCGGAUUUAUUGGGCGUAAAGCGAGCGCAGGCGGAAAAAUAAGUCUAAUGUGAAAGCCCUCGGCUUAACCGAGGAACUGCAUCGGAAACUGUUUUUCUUGAGUGCAGAAGAGGAGAGUGGAACUCCAUGUGUAGCGGUGGAAUGCGUGGAUAUAUGGAAGAGCACCAGUGGCGAAAGGCGGCUCUCUGGUCUGCAACUGACGCUGAGGCUCGAAAGCAUGGGUAGCGAACAGGAUUAGAUACCCUGGUAGUCCAUGCCGUAACGAUGAGUGCUAAGUGU
rnacentral:rRNA from 1 species